AAAUUGAAGAGUUUGAUCAUGGCUCAGAUUGAACGCUGGCGGCAGGCCUAACACAUGCAAGUCGAACGGUAACAGGAAGCAGCUUGCUGCUUCGCUGACGAGUGGCGGACGGGUGAGUAAUGUCUGGGAAACUGCCUGAUGGAGGGGGAUAACUACUGGAAACGGUGGCUAAUACCGCAUAACGUCGCAAGACCAAAGAGGGGGACCUUCGGGCCUCUUGCCAUCAGAUGUGCCCAGAUGGGAUUAGCUUGUUGGUGAGGUAACGGCUCACCAAGGCGACGAUCCCUAGCUGGUCUGAGAGGAUGACCAGCCACACUGGAACUGAGACACGGUCCAGACUCCUACGGGAGGCAGCAGUGGGGAAUAUUGCACAAUGGGCGCAAGCCUGAUGCAGCCAUGCCGCGUGUAUGAAGAAGGCCUUCGGGUUGUAAAGUACUUUCAGCGGGGAGGAAGGUGUUGUGGUUAAUAACCGCAGCAAUUGACGUUACCCGCAGAAGAAGCACCGGCUAACUCCGUGCCAGCAGCCGCGGUAAUACGGAGGGUGCAAGCGUUAAUCGGAAUUACUGGGCGUAAAGCGCACGCAGGCGGUCUGUCAAGUCGGAUGUGAAAUCCCCGGGCUCAACCUGGGAACUGCAUUCGAAACUGGCAGGCUUGAGUCUUGUAGAGGGGGGUAGAAUUCCAGGUGUAGCGGUGAAAUGCGUAGAGAUCUGGAGGAAUACCGGUGGCGAAGGCGGCCCCCUGGACAAAGACUGACGCUCAGGUGCGAAAGCGUGGGGAGCAAACAGGAUUAGAUACCCUGGUAGUCCACGCCGUAAACGAUGUCUACUUGGAGGUUGUGCCCUUGAGGCGUGGCUUCCGGAGCUAACGCGUUAAGUAGACCGCCUGGGGAGUACGGCCGCAAGGUUAAAACUCAAAUGAAUUGACGGGGGCCCGCACAAGCGGUGGAGCAUGUGGUUUAAUUCGAUGCAACGCGAAGAACCUUACCUGGUCUUGACAUCCACGGAAGUUUUCAGAGAUGAGAGUGUGCCUUCGGGAACCGUGAGACAGGUGCUGCAUGGCUGUCGUCAGCUCGUGUUGUGAAAUGUUGGGUUAAGUCCCGCAACGAGCGCAACCCUUAUCCUUUGUUGCCAGCGGUCCGGCCGGGAACUCAAAGGAGACUGCCAGUGAUAAACUGGAGGAAGGUGGGGAUGACGUCAAGUCAUCAUGGCCCUUACGACCAGGGCUACACACGUGCUACAAUGGCGCAUACAAAGAGAAGCGACCUCGCGAGAGCAAGCGGACCUCAUAAAGUGCGUCGUAGUCCGGAUUGGAGUCUGCAACUCGACUCCAUGAAGUCGGAAUCGCUAGUAAUCGUGGAUCAGAAUGCCACGGUGAAUACGUUCCCGGGCCUUGUACACACCGCCCGUCACACCAUGGGAGUGGGUUGCAAAAGAAGUAGGUAGCUUAACCUUCGGGAGGGCGCUUACCACUUUGUGAUUCAUGACUGGGGUGAAGUCGUAACAAGGUAACCGUAGGGGAACCUGCGGUUGGAUCACCUCCUUACCUUAAAGAA
rnacentral:rRNA from 3 species